GACUAAAUAAAUGUAGUUUAGUUUUUAAUUUAGUUUAGUUCAUUUGGUCAUGACACCAUUAUGCAUUAAACAAUAAUAAUUAAAAUAUUAAAUGAAGUAGACAAUUAGUGUGACACAUCAUUGGGGAUUCAAUGCAGGAGCAGGACUAAAUAAUAGUAACCAUGUUAAAUCCAUGAUCAAUGAUGUUGUUUCUUAUCAAUUUCAAUAAAUGUGGUACAUCAGCAAAGACAUGGACGUUUUUUCCAGUGUUUGGAUGUAAAAAACUACUAUUUGUAUGGGUAACUUUCAAUGAAUUCCACAAAGAAAUUAUUGAAGCAGUCAUUGGUGUGUCAUAAGAAUAAAAGACUGGCUGCUUCCAAGAUUUGAACAGUCCUCUAACCAUGACCACUUGCACAGUUUGAUGUGGUCCUAAAACUUGAUCAAUUGCUUUAUCAUAGCAUACAUCAUGUGCUAUGUAAACUUCAUCAAAAGAGAGAACAACAAUUUUAUCUCUAUCAGACAUGGAUGUACCUUAAAUAAUAGAAAGACCUAAAAUACGACAACAUGUUAUAAAAUAGUCCACAUCAGUUUUGAAAUAAUUGAAUACUUGGCAAUGGAAUAGUUUGAAGCAGAUAUGAAUAAGCGGCUGUAGAAAUACUUCUGAGUGUUAUCGCUGAUACAAUAUCCUCAUUCUCACACUUUUUAAUUUUUUUUUUUGUCAUUUAAAAAUCAACUACAAGACAAACAAGAAAAAAAUUGUACAAACAUUUCAGAGUUGUCAAUGGGUAAAAAAGACACAUCAUGUUCAAAUUCAUUAACAAGAGACCUCGGGAUGAAUGGUUUUUUACAGUCAUCGAGAACUUCAACCUUUGGUACCUGCAUCAUAUGUCAAGUUGUAUUACAAAUUAUGUUAUGCUCAUAUAUAUGCUAUCAUAGGUAGUUAAGAAAAUAGUGAUAAAGAAAUAAACUAUUUUUAACAAUGUUUUAUGUAUUACCAAGGGACAUUCAUUGAAAGAAUCCGCGUUCGGUAAAAUUUCUGGAUUUGAGAAUGUUGAGACUUCAGCAGUUUGUUGGAUAGAAUUUAAUUUAACUCUAGAGCUUUUUAUCUAUAAAAUAUAUAUUAAAGUGUAGAGACUGUAUUUAUAAUUAAAACUAUGUACCUAUAUCAUACCUACCAUGCUAUGUAUAAA